UACGUAGGUGGCAAGCGUUGUCCGGAUUUAUUGGGUUUAAAGGGUGCGUAGGCGGCUUUUUAAGUCAGUGGUGAAAGCCGAUCGCUUAACGAUCGAACUGCCAUUGAUACUGAGAGGCUUGAGUAUAGUUGAGGUAGGCGGAAUUGACAGUGUAGCGGUGAAAUGCAUAGAGAUUGUCAAGAACACCAAUUGCGAAGGCAGCUUGCUAGAGUAUAACUGACCCUGAGGCACGAAAGUGAGGGGAUCAAACAGG
rnacentral:rRNA from 1 species